rnacentral:tRNA from 1 species
GACAUCCGUUGACUUUAAAAAUCGUGAGG